rnacentral:rRNA from 1 species
GACGAACGCUGGCGGCGUGCCUAAUACAUGCAAGUCGAGCGAAGUUUUUCUGGUGCUUGCACUAGAAAAACUUAGCGGCGAACGGGUGAGUAACACGUAAAGAACCUGCCUCAUAGACUGGGACAACUAUUGGAAACGAUAGCUAAUACCGGAUAACAGCAUUAACUGCAUGGUUGAUGUUUAAAAGUUGGUUUUGCUAACACUAUGAGAUGGCUUUGCGGUGCAUUAGCUAGUUGGUGGGGUAAAGGCCUACCAAGGCGACGAUGCAUAGCCGACCUGAGAGGGUGAUCGGCCACACUGGGACUGAGACACGGCCCAGACUCCUACGGGAGGCAGCAGUAGGGAAUCUUCCGCAAUGGGCGAAAGCCUGACGGAGCAACGCCGCGUGAGUGAAGAAGGAUUUCGGUUCGUAAAGCUCCGUUGUUAGGGAAGAAUGAUUGUGUAGUAACUAUACACAGUAGAGACGGUACCUAACCAGAAAGCCACGGCUAACUACGUG